GAUGAACGCUGACAGAAUGCUUAACACAUGCAAGUCAACUUGAAUUUGGGUUUUUAACUUAGGUUUGGGUGGCGGACGGGUGAGUAACGCGUAAAGAACUUGCCUCACAGCUAGGGACAACAUUUGGAAACGAAUGCUAAUACCUAAUAUUAUGAUAAUAGGGCAUCCUAUAAUUAUGAAAGCUAUAAGCGCUGUGAGAGAGCUUGCGUCCCAUUAGCUAGUUGGAGAGGUAACGGCUCACCAAGGCGAUGAUGGGUAGCCGGCCUGAGAGGGUGAUCGGCCACAAGGGGACUGAGACACGGCCCUUACUCCUACGGGAGGCAGCAGUGGGGAAUAUUGGACAAUGGACCAAGAGUCUGAUCCAGCAAUUCUGUGUGCACGAUGAAGUUUUUCGGAAUGUAAAGUGCUUUCAGUUGGGAAGAAAGAAAUGACGGUACCAACAGAAGAAGUGACGGCUAAAUACGUGCCAGCAGCCGCGGUAAUACGUAUGUCACGAGCGUUAUCCGGAUUUAUUGGGCGUAAAGCGCGUCUAGGUGGUUAUGUAAGCCUGAUGUGAAAAUGCAGGGCUCAACUCUGUAUUGCGUUGGAAACUGUAUAACUAGAGUACUGGAGAGGUAAGCGGAACUACAAGUGUAGAGGUGAAAUUCGUAGAUAUUUGUAGGAAUGCCGAUGGGGAAGCCAGCUUACUGGACAGAUACUGACGCUGAAGCGCGAAAGCGUGGGUAGCAAACAGG
rnacentral:rRNA from 1 species